rnacentral:rRNA from 1 species
CGCCGUAAACGAUGUCGACUUGGAGGUUGUGCCCUUGAGGCGUGGCUUCCGGAGCUAACGCGUUAAGUCGACCGCCUGGGGAGUACGGCCGCAAGGUUAAAACUCAAAUGAAUUGACGGGGGCCCGCACAAGCGGUGGAGCAUGUGGUUUAAUUCGAUGCAACGCGAAGAACCUUACCUGGUCUUGACAUCCACGGAAGUUUUCAGAGAUGAAAAUGUGCCUUCGGGAACCGUGAGACAGGUGCUGCAUGGCUGUCGUCAGCUCGUGUUGUGAAAUGUUGGGUUAAGUCCCGCAACGAGCGCAACCCUUAUCCUUUGUUGCCAGCGGUCCGGCCGGGAACUCAAAGGAGACUGCCAGUGAUAAACUGGAGGAAGGUGGGGAUGACGUCAAGUCAUCAUGGCCCUUACGACCAGGGCUACACACGUGCUACAAUGGCGCAUACAAAGAGAAGCGACCUCGCGAGAGCAAGCGGACCUCAUAAAGUGCGUCGUAGUCCGGAUUGGAGUCUGCAACUCGACUCCAUGAAAGUCGGAAUCGCUAGUAAUCGUGGAUCAGAAUGCCACGGUGAAUACGUUCCCGGGCCUUGUACACACCGCCCGUC